UGCCUAACACAUGCAAGUCGAACGAGGGCUCCCUUCGGGGAUGUCCCCAGUGGCGCACGGGUGAGUAACGCGUGGGAAUCUGUCCAGGUAUGGGGAAUAACUACGGGAAACUGUAGCUAAUACCGCAUACGCCCUACGGGGGAAAGGCUUCGGCCGCAUUUGGAUGAGCCCGCGUCAGAUUAGCUAGUUGGUGGGGUAAUGGCCUACCAAGGCUACGAUCUGUAACUGGUCCGAGAGGACGAUCAGUCACACUGGAACUGAGACACGGUCCAGACUCC
rnacentral:rRNA from 1 species